rnacentral:rRNA from 1 species
GACGUAGGGCGCGAGCGUUGUCCGGAUUUAUUGGGCGUAAAGAGCUCGUAGGCGGCUUGUUGCGUCGUCCGUGAAAACCCACGGCUUAACUGUGGGCUUGCGGUCGAUACGGGCGGGCUGGAGUUCGGUAGGGGAGACUGGAAUUCCUGGUGUAGCGGUGAAAUGCGCAGAUAUCAGGAGGAACACCGAUGGCGAAGGCAGGUCUCUGGGCAUUAACUGACGCUGAGGAGCGAAAGCAUGGGGAGCGAACAGG